GCAGACACAUUCCAGGCAAUCAGCAGCAGACCCUCCCUCCCAGACCCUCCCACCUCCUGGACAGCAUCCAUUUUGAAGCUGCAUUCUUAGUGAGCUGUCCAGGAGGUGGGAGGGUCUGGGAGGGAGGGUCUGCUGCUGAUUGGCUGGAAUGUGUCUG